rnacentral:lncRNA from 1 species
UUUGUUAGGAAUUUUAUUAUAUGAAGAAAUGUGCAUAUGCACAUAAAUGAGCCAUUUGAUGGAAUCAUAGACAAGAUUUGGGAGACUUCAGAACUCAUGUAGGCCAAUUAGUGGUAAUAUUUACAACAUACUAUUUUUAAAAGCUAAACUUGGUGACUUAACAAUUGAGGGAAUUUUUAACUAUGGGCUUAACUCUUAAAAUCAAUUUCCCAUCUGUAAGGAAGACCUCUGCAUUUGUGUAAGCAGCAAUGAAGACUCAUACAAAAAUGCCAGUAUCAAGUAGAAGUUCUUUG